AGCAGCCGCGGUAAUUCCAGCUCCAAUAGCGUAUAUUAAAGUUGUUGCAGUUAAAAAGCUCGUAGUUGAAUUUCGGGAUUGACGUGAUGGUCGUGCCUUACGGGGUAUGAACUGUUGCAGUCAAUUUCUCACCUUCUGGAGAAAUAUGAUGUCCUUAAUUGGGUGUCAUAUGGAACCAGAACUUUUACCUUGAAAAAAUUAGAGUGUUUAAAGCAGGCUUAUUGCUCGAAUACAUUAGCAUGGAAUAAUAAAAUAGGACGGCAUGGUUCUAUUUUGUUGGUUUCUAGGAUCACCGUAAUGAUUAAUAGGGAUAGUUGGGGGCAUUAGUAUUCAAUUGUCAGAGGUGAAAUUCUUGGAUUUAUUGAAGACUAACUACUGCGAAAGCAUUUGCCAAGGAUGUUUUCAUUAAUCAAGAACGAAAGUUAGGGGAUCGAAGACGAUCAGAUACCGUCGUAGUCUUAACCAUAAACUAUGCCGA
rnacentral:misc_RNA from 1 species